CCAAUAGCGUAUAUUAAAGUUGUUGCAGUUAAAAAGCUCGUAGUUGAAUUUUGGGUUUGGCCGAUUGGUCCGUUCUUGUAACGAGUACUGGUCGGUUGGGCCUCACCGCCUGGUGAUACGUAAUGUCCUUUAUUGGGUGUUGCGAGUAGCCAGGACCUUUACCUUGAAAAAAUUAGAGUGUUUAAAGCAGGCUUAUGCCGGAAUACAUUAGCAUGGAAUAAUAGAAUAGGACGAUGAUUCUAUUUUGUUGGUUUCUAGGAGCAUCGUAAUGAUUAGUAGGGAUAGUUGGGGGCAUUAGUAUUCAAUUGUCAGAGGUGAAAUUCUUGGAUUUAUUGAAGACUAACUACUGCGAAAGCAUUUGCCAAGGAUGUUUUCAUUAAUCAAGAACGAAAGUUAGGGGAUCGAAGACGAUCAGAUACCGUCGUAGUCUUAACCAUAAACUAUGCCGACUAGGGAUCGGGCGAUGUUGUUUCAAUGACUCGCUCGGCACCUUAUG
rnacentral:rRNA from 1 species